rnacentral:rRNA from 1 species
GACGAACGCUGUCGGCGUGCUUAACACAUGCAAGUCGAACGGAAAGGCCCUGCUUUUGUGGGGUGCUCGAGUGGCGAACGGGUGAGUAACACGUGAGUAACCUGCCCUUGACUUUGGGAUAACUUCAGGAAACUGGGGCUAAUACCGGAUAGGAGCUCCUGCUGCAUGGUGGGGGAUGGAAAGUUUCGGCGGUUGGGGAUGGACUCGCGGCUUAUCAGCUUGUUGGUGGGGUAGUGGCUUACCAAGGCUUUGACGGGUAGCCGGCCUGAGAGGGUGACCGGCCACAUUGGGACUGAGAUACGGCCCAGACUCCUACGGGAGGCAGCAGUGGGGAAUAUUGCACAAUGGGCGGAAGCCUGAUGCAGCAACGCCGCGUGCGGGAUGACGGCCUUCGGGUUGUAAACCGCUUUCGCCUGUGACGAAGCGUGAGUGACGGUAAUGGGUAAAGAAGCACCGGCUAACUACGUGCCAGCAGCCGCGGUGAUACGUAGGGUGCGAGCGUUGUCCGGAUUUAUUGGGCGUAAAGGGCUCGUAGGUGGUUGAUCGCGUCGGAAGUGUAAUCUUGGGGCUUAACCCUGAGCGUGCUUUCGAUACGGGUUGACUUGAGGAAGGUAGGGGAGAAUGGAAUUCCUGGUGGAGCGGUGGAAUGCGCAGAUAUCAGGAGGAACACCAGUGGCGAAGGCGGUUCUCUGGGCCUUUCCUGACGCUGAGGAGCGAAAGCGUGGGGAGCGAACAGGCUUAGAUACCCUGGUAGUCCACGCUGUAAACGGUGGGUACUAGGUGUGGGGUCCAUUCCACGGGUUCCGUGCCGUAGCUAACGCUUUAAGUACCCCGCCUGGGGAGUACGGCCGCAAGGCUAAAACUCAAAGGAAUUGACGGGGCCCCGCACAAGCGGCGGAGCAUGCGGAUUAAUUCGAUGCAACGCGUAGAACCUUACCUGGGUUUGACAUGGAUCGGGAGUGCUCAGAGAUGGGUGUGCCUCUUUUGGGGUCGGUUCACAGGUGGUGCAUGCCUGUCGUCAGCUCGUGUCGUGAGAUGUUGGGUUAAGUCCCGCAACGAGCGCAACCCUUGUUCACUGUUGCCAGCACGUUAUGGUGGGGACUCAGUGGAGACCGCCGGGGUCAACUCGGAGGAAGGUGGGGAUGACGUCAAGUCCUCAUGCCCCUUAUGUCCAGGGCUUCACGCAUGCUACAAUGGCUGGUACAGAGAGUGGCGAGCCUGUGAGGGUGAGCGAAUCUCGGAAAGCCGGUCUCAGUUCGGAUUGGGGUCUGCAACUCGACCUCAUGAAGUCGGAGUCGCUAGUAAUCGCAGAUCAGCAACGCUGCGGUGAAUACGUUCCCGGGGCU